AUGGCUGCUAGGGUGGUGCUAGAUGAGUUGAAGGUGCGGCGGGGCACGCCAUCGUUGGUGGCGCCGGCGCGGGCGACGCCACGGGAGAGCGUGGCGUUGUCGGACAUCGACAACCAGCCAGUCAUGUGGUUCUACAGCACCGUGAUCCACCUGUACCGAGGUGACCCAUCCAAGGGACUCGUCGACCCAGCGGUGGCCAUGCGCGCUGCGCUGGCGGAGGCGCUGGUGCACUACUACCCGCUGGCCGGUCGGCUGCGCGAGGAGGCCGGCCGGAGGCUGGUUGUGGACUGCGCUGGGCAGGGCGUCAUGUUCUUGGAGGCGGACGCGGACAUCGCCAUCGAUGAUCUCGGCGACGUGCGGUACCCGCCGUUCCCGCGCUCCGAGGAGUUCAUCUACGAC
rnacentral:rRNA from 1 species